GUAGAUAAGUACACAGCCUGUUGUAUGUGUUCAUAAUAAAUCAUUUCAAAUAGAAAUAUCCAGUAUGCAAUAUGAAAGUUUUGUAUGUGGAAAGUUUUCAUUUUGCAAUUUAAAUGCUUUCAAUAUCCAAGUAUUAAGCCUUUGGCCUUGAAGCUUAAAGUUUUCACGUGCAAUUCAAAACCUAGCUUGGAAGUGCGAUGCACAAAGUUUCUAGAUAUAUGCUUCAAAGUUUGAGAAUAAUAUGUUGAAAGUGGCAUGUAUAAAGUUUAAAACUUCAGAUAAUAA
rnacentral:lncRNA from 1 species